rnacentral:rRNA from 1 species
GACGAACGCUGGCGGCGUGCUUAACACAUGCAAGUCGAACGGAAAGGCCUGCUUUCCCUUGUGGAUUGCGGGUACUCGAGUGGCGAACGGGUGAUUAACACGUGAGUGAUCUGCCCCCAACUUGGGUAUAAGCCUGGGAAACUGGGUCUAAUUCCCGAUAGGACUGCAGGGUGGUGCCUGUGGUGGAAAACGAUUUUCUAGUGGUUGGGGAUGAGCUCGCGGCCUAUCAGCUUGUUGGUGGGGUAAUGGCCUACCAAGGCGGCGACGGGUAGCCGGCCUGAGAGGGUGGACGGCCACAUUGGGACUGAGAUACGGCCCAGACUCCUACGGGAGGCAGCAGUGGGGAAUAUUGCACAAUGGGCGGAAGCCUGAUGCAGCGACGCCGCGUGGGGGAUGACGGCCUUCGGGUUGUAAACUCCUUUCGACCGCGAGGAAGCCACCUGGUUGGAAGGGUGGUGACGGUAGUGGUAGAAGAAGCACCGGCUAACUACGUG